CUGCUGCCUCCCGUAGGAGUUUGGGCCGUGUCUCAGUCCCAAUGUGGCCGUCCACCCUCUCAGGCCGGCUACUGAUCGUCGCCUUGGUGGGCCGUUACCCCGCCAACAAGCUAAUCAGACGCGGGUCCAUCUUACACCACCGGAGUUUUUCACACAAAUCCAUGCGGCUUCGUGCGCUUAUGCGGUAUUAGCGCCUAUUUCUAAGUGUUAUCCCCCAGUGUAAGGCAGGUUACCCACGCGUUACUCACCCGUCCGCCACUAAGAUUA
rnacentral:rRNA from 1 species